rnacentral:rRNA from 1 species
AGAGUUUGAUCCUGGCUCAGGACGAACGCUGGCGGCGUGCUUAACACAUGCAAGUGGAGCGACGAACCAGGGCUUGCCCUGGGGCAGAGCCGCGAACGGGUGAGUAACACGUGGGUUACCUGCCUCGAUGACCGGGACAACCCGAGGAAACUCGGGCUAAUACCGGAUGUGCCCGCAAGGGGAAAGGAAGCUUCGGCCUCCGCAUCGAGAUGGGCCCGCGGCCCAUUAGCUUGUUGGUGGGGUAACGGCCUACCAAGGCGACGAUGGGUAGCUGGUCUGAGAGGACGAUCAGCCACACUGGGACUGAGACACGGCCCAGACUCCUACGGGAGGCAGCAGUGGGGAAUCUUGCGCAAUGCGCGAAAGCGUGACGCAGCAACGCCGCGUGGGGGAAGACGGCUUUCGGGUUGUAAACCCCUUUCAGUUGGGACGAAGCCUCGUCGGUUAAUAGCCGUGCGGGGUGACGGUACCUUCACAAGAAGCACCGGCUAACUACGUGCCAGCAGCCGCGGUAAUACGUAGGGUGCAAGCGUUGUCCGGAAUUAUUGGGCGUAAAGAGCGUGUAGGCGGCCCCGUUAGUCCGCUGUGAAAGUCCAGGGCUCAACCCUGGAAUGCCGGUGGAUACUGCGGGGCUAGAGUCCGGAAGGGGCGAGUGGAAUUCCUGGUGUAGCGGUGAAAUGCGCAGAUAUCCGGAGGAACACCGACGGCGAAGGCAGCGCCCUGGAGGGUUAACUGACGCUGAGGCGCGAAAGCUAGGGGAGCGAACAGGAUUAGAUACCCUGGUAGUCCUAGCCGUAAACGAUGACCACUAGAUGUGCGGGGUAUCGACCCCUCGCGUGUCGGAGCAAACGUUUGAAGUGGUCCGCCUGGGGAGUACGGUCGCAAGAUUAAAACUCAAAGGAAUUGACGG